UUAAAUCUUAAACUAUGGCUGGAGUGUUAACUGGAAAACCACUUUGCUUACUUUGAAUGACUUUUGGCACUGUGGACUCCUAGAUCUCAUGGUAGGCUGUUGGGUAAGCCUGCCAGAGCUGCUCUUUUGGUCUGCCUAGUAACAGGAGCAAAAAGAAAGAGAAGAACUAAAUUGGCUUAAUGCAAGUCAGAGUUGCAAUCACUCAGCAGUUUUUCUCCCAAGAUCCACUCACAACGGAGACCCAGCCCUGCAUGGAUCUCCACGUCUCUGCUGCAAGGGCUGCCUCUUCCCCUCCAGGCUGGGACAGAGAGCUCCAGAAUUUCCCCAAGAGACAUGGAAACCAAGUUCAACCUUCAGAAGAGCCAUGGAAAACCUCAAAGGCAGCAGAAAUAGUGCAAGAAAAUCCCACUGAGAGACAAGCCACGUAGAGGGACUCUGCCUCCCCUGCAUGUUCUGGAGAUGUCCUUCUUGACAGUAUCCAAAUCCAUGCCACUCUGCAGGUGAAUUGAAAAGAGGGGCGUAUCGUAGACGGGGCAGGCUGUGAGCAGAUGCUGGAUGAUUAUUACUUGGAUCCACUGACCAAAGCAGCCCACUGACCCCUGAAAAAGGAGAAUACAGGAAAUGCUGCCAUCAGGCUGAGGUAGCAGAUGCUUCACUGGGGUGAGGGAAAAAGGUUAUUGAAGAUUCGAUGUACCGAAUGCCCACAGCAAUCCUGUGUGCAAAGCUGCUUUACUCUCAUUUGACCUCAGAAUUUCAGUUCCUACCAGCCCAGGAAGGGUUCCUCCAGCACUGACCCAAGAGACAAAGACUUUCUGUCUCAUUACUAAUUCCUCAAGUCAUCUUCCUCCCUGGUUUAAACUUAAGUCUCU